rnacentral:rRNA from 1 species
AAGUCGUAACAAGGUUUCCGUAGGUGAACCUGCGGAAGGAUCAUUAACCAAAAGGAUACCUUUAUGGUAUACCCCAUCCGUGUCUACAAACUCUUGUUGCUUUGGCAGGCCGUGGUCUUGACCCUGUGGGCUCUGCCUGCAUGUGCCUGCCAGAGGACCAAACUCUGAAUUUUAGUGAUGUCUGAGUACUAUAUAAUAGUUAAAACUUUCAACAACGGAUCUCUUGGUUCUGGCAUCGAUGAAGAACGCAGCGAAAUGCGAUAAGUAAUGUGAAUUGCAGAAUUCAGUGAAUCAUCGAAUCUUUGAACGCACAUUGCGCCCGGUGGUAUUCCGCCGGGCAUGCCUGUUCGAGCGUCUCUAUCAACCUACACGCCUCGCGUGGAAUUGGGUCUGCGGUCCGCUGCAGUCCUAAAGUCUAAGAGCGAUACCAGUCUGGUUCUAAGCGUAGUACAUACCCCGCUACAGGACUUCUCUGGUGCUCGGCCAUAAAUGGUGCAAGCCCAUUAACAAGGUUGACCUCGGAUCAAGUAGGGAUACCCGCUGAACUUAAGCAUAUCAAUAAGCGGAGGAAAAGAAACCAACAGGGAUUACCUUAGUAACGGCGAGUGAAGCGGUAACAGCUCAAAUUUGAAAGCUGCCAACAGGUCGCAUUGUAAUUUGUAGAAGAUGCUUUGGGUGUUGGCCUAGUCUAAGUUCCUUGGAACAGGACGUCAUAGAGGGUGAGAAUCCCGUAUGUGAUUAGUGCCUUCCCCCGUGUAAAGCUCUUUCGACGAGUCGAGUUGUUUGGGAAUGCAGCUCAAAAUGGGUGGUAAAUUUCAUCUAAAGCUAAAUAUUGGCCAGAGACCGAUAGCGCACAAGUAGGGUGAUCGAAAGAUGAAAAGCACUUUGGAAAGAGAGUUAAACAGUACGUGAAAUUGUUGAAAGGGAAGCGCUUGCAAUCAGACUUGCAGGCGGUUGAUCAUCCGGGGUUCUCCCCGGUGCACUCGAUCGUUUUCAGGCCAGCAUCAGUUCUCGUGGUGGGAUAAAGGCUGUGAGAAUGUGGCUCUUCGGAGUGUUAUAGCUCACGGUGCAAUGCCGCCUACGGGGACUGAGGACCGCGCUUCGGCUAGGAUGCUGGCGUAAUGGUUGUAAGCGACC